UAUAGGGCAAGUAAUACACGUUAAUGGUAUAAAGGAUACGUAGAAUGGUAUAUUAAAUCAUAUAUAUUACAAUAAUUUAUUAUAUUUUAUUAAUUAUAUAAUUUAAUUUAUUAUAAAAAAAUAUGAAUUUAUAAAAAUACUAGGAUAAUUUCAAAUAUUAUAACCAUUAUAUUAGUAACAGUUAAAUGUGAUGAUAAAUAUAAGAGUAACAGUAUAUGAAAAUAUAUAAUAUAAAAUUAUCGACAUUGAGGUAUGAAAAUUUGGUUAUCGAGUUGGAGUAGUCAACCAAUUAGUCCAAAUCGUAAACUAUGUGCAUUGAUACAAAUUAAUUAUUAUUUUUAUAUUUAUAUGUAUAUAAAUUUAUAUAUUUAUAAAUGUAGAUUUUAUUAAAAAUUGUAGUAAAUUAAUGCUAUAAUGCACCACCAGAGAAGUACUAUUAAAGAUAGAAACUCAAAACAAUAGACUGUGUGACCUUUUAA
rnacentral:rRNA from 1 species